CAGCUUUUCUCACUCCAGAUUUUACAGAUUACAGCUUUUCUCACUCCAGAUUUUACAGAUUACAGCUUUUCUCACUCCAGGUUUUACAGAUUACAGCAGCUUUUCUCACUCCAGGUUUUACAGAUUACAGCUUUUCUCACUCCAGGUUUUACAGAUUACAGCUUUUCUCACUCCAGAUUUCACAGAUUACAGCUUUUCUCACUCCAGGUUUUACAGAUUACAGCUUUUCUCACUCCAGAUGUUACAGUUUACGGGCCUUUUUCACUCCAGAUUUUACAGAUUACAGCUUUUCUCACUCCAGGUUUUACAGAUUACAGCUUUUCUCACUCCAGAUUUUACAGAUUAUGGAC
rnacentral:lncRNA from 1 species